rnacentral:rRNA from 1 species
ACUCCUACGGGAGGCAGCAGUGGGGAAUCUUGCGCAAUGCGCGACAGCGUGACGCAGCAACACCGCGUGGGGGAAGAAGGCCUUCGGGUUGUAAACCCCUUUCAGGAGGGACGAAGGCCGGCCGGCGAAUAGCCGUGUCGGCUGACGGUACCUCCACAAGAAGCCCCGGCUAACUACGUGCCAGCAGCCGCGGUAAUACGUAGGGGGCAAGCGUUGUCCGGAAUCAUUGGGCGUAAAGCGCGCGUAGGCGGCCCGAUAAGUCCGCUGUAAAAGUCAACGGCUCAACUGUUGAAUGCCGGUGGAUACUGUCGGGCUAGAGUCCGGAAGAGGCAAGUGGAAUUCCUGGUGUAGCGGUGGAAUGCGCAGAUAUCAGGAGGAACACCUAUAGCGAAGGCAGCUUGCUGGGACGGUACUGACGCUAAGGCGCGAAAGCGUGGGGAGCGAACAGGAUUAGAUACCCUGGUAGCUA